rnacentral:rRNA from 1 species
AGUCGUAACAAGGUCUCCGUAGGUGAACCUGCGGAGGGAUCAUUACACAAAUAUGAAGGCGGGCUGGAACCUCUCGGGGUUACAGCCUUGCUGAAUUAUUCACCCUUGUCUUUUGCGUACUUCUUGUUUCCUUGGUGGGUUCGCCCACCACUAGGACAAACAUAAACCUUUUGUAAUUGCAAUCAGCGUCAGUAACAAAUUAAUAAUUACAACUUUCAACAACGGAUCUCUUGGUUCUGGCAUCGAUGAAGAACGCAGCGAAAUGCGAUAAGUAGUGUGAAUUGCAGAAUUCAGUGAAUCAUCGAAUCUUUGAACGCACAUUGCGCCCUUUGGUAUUCCAAAGGGCAUGCCUGUUCGAGCGUCAUUUGUACCCUCAAGCUUUGCUUGGUGUUGGGCGUCUUGUCUCUAGCUUUGCUGGAGACUCGCCUUAAAGUAAUUGGCAGCCGGCCUACUGGUUUCGGAGCGCAGCACAAGUCGCACUCUCUAUCAGCAAAGGUCUAGCAUCCAUUAAGCCUUUUUUUUCAACUUUUGACCUCGGAUCAGGUAGGGAUACCCGCUGAACUUAAGCAUAUCUAAAAGUCG